UUAAGAAACAAAAUGACAUUUAUUAUUUUCCAAACAAUUCAUCAAACAUGUUUAAUCAAUAUUUCUGUGAAAUCAAGAAACACAUCGAUAUUAACCAGAUACUACAAUGGGCUUAUAUGUUGUCGUGUGUGUACGUCUAGGCCACACAGACAGCUCAGCAGGAUGUCGUAAGACAGACGCCUUGGCCAGCUCAAUGGUUCAUAGUCAUCUAAAGCCAACAGAUUACACUUUAAUUGCUUUGGUGAAAUUCAUAGAAUAUUUUGAUAAGAUUUGUUCUUUUUAAAUAUAACCACACAAACUCAACAUGAAAAGUGCUUUAUUCAUAUUUAGAAUACUUUAAAUCUUUCUCCAAUAUCUUAAAUAUAAUUUUGUAAACAGCCAGAUCAACCAACCAGGCUCCCAAAGUAGUGCUGCAGAGCCUGUUGAGUUAACAUAUGACGUUUUUAGCUGACACACUAGAAAGUUAAGCUACAAAACAUCAUGAAAAUAAUCAAUAGGCUAACUAUUGACCAUGGUCUAAAAAUCAAUGACAGUAUACAUUUGGUAGCAUCUUUGAUGAACAUUCAAACCUCUAAGAUUUUUAAAAAGACACCACUGCAUUUUAAGAUAACAAAAACCAUGAAAGGCUUACUAUUGUUAAUAUAUACUUCUAUUAACAAAAAUGAAUGUCACAGAUUUAUUUGAUGUAUUCAGACUGACUGGCGUAUGUAUAUUCCGUACAUGGUGGUACUGGCCUUCAAGAACAUAAAGAUGAGGAAAGCCCGAGCCUUGAGCUGAUUUACUCCUCGGAACCAAGUAAGCCAAAAGCCCAGCAGGUGCCGGUAAAGCUACUGUAGACAAUCGACUAUGAAGAGGCCUCGUAUACAGGGUUAUUACCAGACAAAGCAUAGAUGUUUUCACUUCUACAGCAUGAGCGCCUCAACAGGGUUGGAGUUAAUCAAUUCCAUUUUUCAAUUCAGUCAAUUCAGGAAGUAAACUGAAAUUCUAAUUUCCGGUAAAAAAAAAUCUGAGAAGCACUGAGGAUAAUUGAAGUAGAUGUUUUUUUUGGAUUGACUGAAUUUAAAUUGAUUGAUCCUCAACACUGUUCCUCAGGAAGUUUGGGUGCACAACAAAGAAAAAUGCUGGAGAUAAAAUUAAGUGUACAAUUACUUUACCUUAAUUUUAAAUAAAAACAAUUAAUCAUUGACAUUUCUUUGUGUCAGAAACAGACUGUAUGCAAAACAUAAUUCCAUUGAAAUAAGUUAUACUUAAAAUUAAAAAGAUUGAAAAAUAAAGAGUUAAAUGCAAUAAGUAGUACACAAAUAAUCCUGAAAUACAUUCUCAGACCGGUGUUUUUGACAGGCAAAAAGCUGCAAGCGACUUCAUUUUAGCCAACUGUAAUGUAAAGGCAGUGAAUAUUAAAAAUGUCAAGAUCUGGAUACAAAUUAUAAUAAGAAGCUGCGUUGCCAUACAUUAAAAGUAUGUCAUUCCAGUUAUGUCUAUUAAUUACAAAAUAUAAAACCUCUCACAAGUUUACAAACUUCACAAUCCCAACUUUGAUUAUUACUACCUUGAAUACAAGGCCAAAAACAUUCAGCCAAUUCCUCGCUUCCUUUAAAAAUAGACCACGCCUUUUCCCCACAGUCAGUUCUACAUAUCAUACACCAUCCAUCGAUAAAAUCAUCAAAUUUAAUAUUCUCAGUUUUGGGUAUCAUAAUUGGUCAGAAAACCACAGUAUGUAUUGAUAGGAGAUGUCUAUGCGUGUAUCCCUCCUCUUCCCCAUUCCCCUAUAAUAGGAAAAGCACCGGUUCAUCAAGUAUAAAGCUAAGGUAACCACUGACAGCAGCCCUUCUAUACUGAAUAUAAAUGUAACAUGCAAAGUGUUGGUCCAAUGUGUCAUGAACUGAAAUAAAAUAUCCCAGAAAUGUUCCAUUGGCACAAAAAGCUUAUGUCUCUCAAAUUUUGAGCACAAAUUUGUUUACAUCCCUAUUAGUGAGCAUUUCUAAAUUGUCAUGGUAAUUUAUCCACGUGACAGGUGUGGCAUAUCAAGAAGCUAAUUAAACAGCAUGAUCAUUACACAGGCACACCUUGUGCUGGGGACAAUAAAAGGCCACUAAAAUGUGCAGUUGUCACACAACACGAUACCACAGAUGUGUCAAGUUGAGGAAACGCGCAAUUAGCAUGCUGACUGCAGGAACGUCCAACAGAGCUCUUGCCAGAGAAUUGAAUGUUAAUUUCUCUACCAUAAGCCACCUCCAAUGUCAAUUUAGAGAAUUUGGCAGUACGUACAACUGGCUCACAACUGCAGACUAUGUGUAACCACAACAGCUCAGGGUAUAUGUUACUUAACUAUGGGGACUGCUAUCAUGAUGGUUACCAAAAUACAGGUUGGUGUUCAGUUUGAGGAGAAUUUGAUUCACAUUUCACCUCUUCUGAGAUGUGUUUUUGGGGUGUAGGUUGGGACAAGCAGGGUUUAUUAGUAGUUAGUAAAAACUCAACAUUAAAACAAAACUUAACAUCUGAAAUCUGAUCUCGUUUGAUGUGGUUAAGCCUCCUGAUAUCAUCACGAUACCAUCGUCUCCGCAGUGCAGCAAGGACUCCAGACUUUUCAUUGGAAACCGUAAAACCGAUCAAUCACUAACAGAGCACAGGGUUACAUUUAAAACAAUCCCCUCAUUAGAACACUUUGUACUGUACCCGUGUUACAUCUAGAUCACUUCCCAAUGUGUUACUUUUAAAGCACUAGCACACUUUUUCCAACAAAAAACAGAGUUCCUGUUGGACAAAUUCAAGUAGGCCCCUCCCUGUUUCAUUCAGUUUGCUCCAUUUGCUUUGUUUGGCUCUUAAAACGGUUUCCGUUGCAAGAUGUAAUGAAUACAUCCUAGAACUCUUGCACUUUGGAGCAGUUUAGAUUGAACAGUUGGACAUUGCACUUCAUAAAAUCGCCUUUUAUACAUCUUAAA
rnacentral:lncRNA from 1 species